UACGUAGGGGGCAAGCGUUGUCCGGAUUUAUUGGGCGUAAAGAGCGUGUAGGCGCCAGACAGGUCCGUUGUGAAAACUCGAGGCUCAACCUCGAGACGUCGACGGAAACCGUCUGGCUAGAGUCCGGAAGAGGAGUGUGGAAUUCCUGGUGUAGCGGUGAAAUGCGCAGAUAUCAGGAAGAACACCGUAUGGCGAAGGCAGGCACUCGUGGAC
rnacentral:rRNA from 1 species